AACCUAGCACACCUGCGGUGUGUACCUGCGGAGGGAUCAUUACAGAGUUAUCCAACUCCCAAACCCAUGUGAACUUAUCUCUUUGUUGCCUCGGCGCAAGCUACCCGGGACCUCGCGCCCCGGGCGGCCCGCCGGCGGACAAACCAAAACUCUUGUUAUCUUAGUUGAUUAUCUGAGUGUCUUAUUUAAUAAGUCAAAACUUUUAACAACGGAUCU
rnacentral:misc_RNA from 1 species